CCAAUAGCGUAUAUUAAAGUUGUUGCAGUUAAGAAGCUCGUAGUUGAAUUUCGGGAUCAAUACGUCGGUCGUGCUUUCGGGUACGUACUGGCGUCAUUGGUUUCUCCUUUCUGACGAACCAUGAUGUCAUUAAUUUGGUGUUAUGGGGAGUUAGGACUGUUACUUUGAAACAAUUGGAGUGUUUAAAGCAGGCAUUAGCUUGAAUACAUUAGCAUGGAAUAAUGAAAUAGGACGUUCGAUCCUAUUUUGUUGGUUUCUAGGAUCAACGUAAUGAUUAAUAGUGAUAGUUGGUGGCAUUAGUAUUCAAUUGUCAGAGGUGAAAUGCUUGGAUUUAUUGAAGACUAACUACUGCGAAAGCAGUUGCCAAGGAUGUUUUCAUUAAUCAAGAACGAAAGUUAGGGGAUCGAAGACGAUCAGAUACCGUCGUAGUCUUAACCAUAAACUAUGCCGACUAGGGAUCGGAUGAUGUUAAUUUUUUAAUGACUCAUUCGGCGCCUUACG
rnacentral:rRNA from 1 species